CACGUAGGGGGCGAGCGUUGUCCGGAUUUAUUGGGCGUAAAGAGCUCGUAGGCGGCUUUGUCAGUCGGGUGUGAAACCUCCAGGCUCAACCUGGAGCCGCCACCCGAUACUGCAAUAGCUAGAGUCCGGUAGGGGAGCAUGGAACUCCUGGUGUAGCGGUGAAAUGCGCAGAUAUCAGGAGGAACACCAAUUGCGAAGGCAGCUCGCUGGGACGUGACUGACGCUGAGACGCGAAAGCGUGGGGAGCAAACAGG
rnacentral:rRNA from 1 species